rnacentral:lncRNA from 1 species
UUUAUUUUAUCAAACAACAUUCUUUAUUUCUUUUUGGGAAAUUGUUCCUCCCUUUUACAAUGGAAAUAAUUUUUUUGAAACUUUUAUUGUGAUUAAUUCAGUAUGAACUUGUUUCAUGUUUUCAGUGGUCCCCGUGAAGAUGCUACUCGUAUUGGGUCUGCUGGAGUUGUAAGGAGACAGGCUGUGGAUAUCUCACCUCUACGUCGUGUUAAUCAAGCCAUCUAUCUUUUAACCACUGGUGCACGUGAAGCUGCAUUCAGAAACAUCAAGUCAAUUGCUGAAUGUCUUGCUGAUGAACUUAUUAAUGCAGCAAAAGGUUCAUCCAACAGGUAUGCUUUUACAAUUCUAUCUAUUGAGCAUGCUGUUUUUAAUCUUUAUCUAUGUUUUAGAUUUUUAAUAUUUGACUUACUGAUAAAUACCAUACAAUGUUUCAGUUAUGCAAUCAAGAAAAAAGAUGAAAUUGAGAGAGUUGCUAAGGCAAAUCGUUAAGCAGCAACCUUGCGUGGCAGCAGUAUUGGCAACCUCUGCUUUUUGAAAAUAUAUGUUUCGGAAUUUAAUUUUUCAUUAUGAAUAGUAACUUGCAUACUUGGAAUGGAAUUUUUAAAAUUUUUGUUUUUCAGCAAUGAGAGCUAGUGUUUGCAGAAUUUAAUAGCAUGUCUUGUCCUAUCUUUUUAUUUCCAUGCUGCAACCUCUACUGCACUAAAAACUAUAAUAAUAAUAAUGGAAAAUUAGUAACCUUCAUUCUAAGCUUGUAAUCUUCCUGGUUCCUUUUGUUUGUCCAUCUCUUUUUAGUUCGGACAUCUACAUAAAGUUUUUGUUAGAACAUGGUGUAUAAUUAAGAGGUAUUGAAAUUGAGAAUAAAGAGAAAAAACAAAACAUUUUGGUAAACAAAGAUCGAUCAGUUCCAUUCCAAGAAUAUUCUUGGUAUUAGAAAGUGGAGUUCAAAAUUUCCUAUAUCUCUGUUAGAUCAUGAAAGAUUUGCGUUACUUUUGUUUUAUGGGAUUGAAAAAAUAGAAAUAGAUUUCAAAAACUUUAUGAAUCCUUACCAACCCAAUAAAUCCUAACUGCUCACAUAACCAGUUUUGUGAAGCCAAUCUAAACAAAGUAAUUGUUGUGAUUUACAAUAGUAUUUGAGAAACUUUUAUUUCUACGAUGGUGCGACGUGCAACGUAAAUCUUAUGGGAAGGAGAUCGGACAUGCCUACAUGGUUAGAACUGAAUUGAAAAAGUUAAGGAAACCCCCAAAUUUGUUUAUCAUUUUGUAUGACACUCUCAAAUAGGUCUAUCAAAUAGGUCUAUGAUACUUCAAAAACUCCGGCAAUGUCAAAUAUAUAAUUUUAUAUAACUUUAUUUUUAUAUUUAACUACUUACUAAUUAUUUGAUCCCUUAAUUUAAUAUUGUAUUUGCUAGUGAAACAAUUGUAAAAUAGCCAUCGGUAAAAUGAAAAAUAUGAAUAAUAUUUGAUGGAGGAAGAGGCAUGUUUGAAAUAUUUAUAAAUUUCAAAGUUCUAUUUGAGAGGAUUUAGUGAUUAUCUCGAAAGAAUGAAGCCUUACGGUUACGGUCUUGAUAUGAAAAGGGUCCUCUACUUUGCAAAUAGAAAACAAUUGAAAUAAAGUUACUCGAGUCAAUUAAUAAGAUGAUUUAAUUAUGGGGUUUGAAUACUUUUGUAAAUAGAUUAACAAGUUAAUGGAUUUGUCUUUUUUUAAAGUGAAAAAUUGGUAAGUGAAUAUAUCAAUGGUUGAUAUUAUAACCGUCUAUAAUUGGUCAUGCACAUCAAAUAACAAUCACUUAUUUGAUGUUUAAUGAUUGACAUUACUUUCUUUAUUAUCUAAAGUGUUGUUCACUUUAGAACACUUUAAAGGAGUCAAAUUCCUAGUUGAUAUAUCCAUAAUUUAAAUAAAUUUUAAUUUUUUUAAUCAAAAUUCACAACACUUAAAUUUUUAAAUAGAAAUAUAUUUCUCAUUUUUAGAUUAAGUUCAAAAAUAAAUUAUUGACCUUGUGUGGAAUAAUAUUAUGAAGUUUUAAAUUUUUAUGAGUUAAUGAUUUUUAGGAACUAAAACUUUAAAUUUCAUCUGUACGUAGAUUUAUCUAACCAAGUAACUAUAACUUGAAAAGAAAAAACAAACCUUUUUAUGAAUGCAUGUGUUAUGGGAAUUUAAAUCAAAUGAAUUUUUUCAAAUAAGUUUUUACCUUUUAACUCAAUUGACAAAUGUCAAUAAUGUUAGAUUGACCUAAUUACUCAAAAAUGUAAGGAAAAUGAAAUAAUAGUUAAGUCUAAGAUUAAAAAAUGUAUCCCUAACUUUUAUGUUUAUUUUUUUAAAAAAAAUGUAUUUUAAAUUAUGGUAAAAAAGAGGUGUAUUGUAGAUUUGAAAAAAAGAAAAAGGAAAUUGUUUAUUUACAGAAAAAAAAAAAAGAGUACAUGGGUAGAGGCAUAAUGGGCCGCGGCCCAUAACAGAAGAGAAAUACCAGGUUAGGUUUUCUAAUUAUUUUCUUCUGCUUCGCCGCAUUUGAAUCCUUUCUCCUGCUUCGCGGCGUGCGCUAAGUAUCUGUUUUCCGUUGAUUUCGCUUUGUUCGUGCGACAAUGGCUGAAGUCAUUCCAGAACCUGCCAUUGUUUCAGAUCCAAAUCAGAUCGAAGUCAAACUGUUCAACCGCUGGAGCUUUGACGACGUUCAGGUACUUUUUUUUUCAAUAAUUUUCCGUUUUUCAAUCUGCAUUGGGUUUAUUAUGAGUUCAAUUUGCUGAUUUUAGGUUUUAAUUACAUAUUAGUUUAAAUUAAUCAUUACUUCGAAGUGUCAUUAACUUGGUUCCUAUGUUGAUAUUUUCUUUGGUUUGUUAGCUUGCUGGUUUUAUGCUUUCAUUAGAUUUGGAUUAUAUAUUUCGAACAAUAUAAGUUGUAUUAUUUUUGCUGUUAGAGUUUUUUAAUUUCACUACUUAUUAGCUUUAAUUAAUAAUUAUUUGUAUACUUUGUCUGAAAUGUCAUGAAAAUUAAUCCAUUUUUUUUUAUUUGUAUGUUGAUGUUUUGUUAUUAUUUGUGUGUUAGCUUUCUGAUGUGUCACUGAUUGAUUACAUUGGAGUUGUGCCAUCAAAACAUGCGACAUAUGUUCCACACACCGCCGGAAGAUACUCCGUGAAGCGUUUCAGGAAAGCUCAGUGUCCUAUUGUAGAGAGACUCACCAACUCUCUCAUGAUGCACGGUAGGAACAACGGAAAGAAGCUUAUGGCUGUCAGAAUCAUCAAGCAUGCUAUGGAAAUUAUUCAUUUGCUAACUGAUCAGAACCCCAUUCAGGUUAUUGUUGAUGCUGUCGUCAACAGGUAUGGUUUGUUUGCUGGGAAACAAGAGGAUUUCCAUAUUAUUUGCGUGUUGUUGAUGGUUGCUGAAAUUGUGUUUUAUGUUGUGAUAACUGUAUUUGAUUUUCAAUUAUUGGAUUGUGGUUUUUUGUUUUGUCUGGUUUGAUGUGGGAGAUGGAGUGAUGAAUAUUUGUUUUCCUAUUGGUUUGACUGCCGGAAUGAUGGCAUUUUGUAUUAGCUCUAUCUGACCAUUCUUCCUAUCUUCCAGUUAAUUUGUUUUCUUCUUAAUAUCUUAUUAUAGAUAUUGCUCUCUUAUUUUGGACGAAAUAAAGAGGGUUUAACUUUUGUAACUUUUUUGUUUUACAAGUCAUGAGUGUUUGGGAGAUUGAAAAGAAAGACAGAUUAAAUAAAGUUAAAAGUUUUUGGAAAAUAACACUUUCGAUUUUUUUUCAUAAAAAAAUGUGUAAAUGAUUUGAAUUUUUCUUGAUUUACUUGUCUGUCUUUGAUAUGGAGAAUGAAAUGAUGAAUGUUUGUUUCCCUAUUGGUUUGACUGCCAGAAUGAUGGCAAUUUGUAUUAGCUCUAUCUGACCAUUCUCUUUAUCUCAUUUCAUUUUAAAAAAAUUAUUAAUUUAUAAUAAAAUUUGGUUUUCUGUUUUUUAUGUUGAAACUAUAACCUUUGCAGAAGAUAUUUUUACAUUUUGUGAGUUUUGUUGAUGCCUUACAUGAGUAAAAUAACCAGUCCAAAUAGAUUGAAGUUAAAGUUGCUAUCAACAAUAAAUAUAUGCUGUUUUGCUUAUCAAACUAAGUUUAAAUUGACUCUUUGGAUUGGAGGGCUGAAAUAUUUGUAUUUCUUUUUACUUGUAAUCAAAUGAUUCGCUAUUGAAACCAAUAAUUUUAUGUUUUGUUUUUGUUGUUAUUCUUGUUUUAAUUGGUUGUCAUUUGAAUUGAGCUUUGGAAAAAUAAUCUAAGUUUGACGUUGGAUCUAAUUUGAUUUUACAACUAAGAACAAAGGAUAAUCAGAGUUGGUGGAUGACAUGAUGAAUUAAUUAUUUCCCUAUUGGUUUGAUUGCCUGGAUGAUGGCAUCUGUGUAUUAGCUCUAUCUGAUCAUCCUCCUUAAUAUAUAGAUUCAUGAUUGUUUCUAUUUUAUUUAAUCAAACAGCAUUCUUUAUUUCUUUUUGGGAAAUUGUUCCUCCCUUUUACAAUGGAAAUAAUUUUUUUGAAACUUUUAUUGUGAUUAAUUCAGUAUGAACUUGUUUCAUGUUUUCAGUGGUCCCCGUGAAGAUGCUACUCGUAUUGGUUCUGCUGGAGUUGUAAGGAGACAGGCUGUGGAUAUCUCACCUCUACGUCGUGUUAAUCAAGCCAUCUAUCUUUUAACCACUGGUGCACGUGAAGCUGCAUUCAGAAACAUCAAGUCAAUUGCUGAAUGUCUUGCUGAUGAACUUAUUAAUGCAGCAAAAGGGUCAUCCAACAGGUAUGC